CUACGUGCCAGCAGCCGCGGUAAUACGGAAGGUCCAGGCGUUAUCCGGAUUUAUUGGGUUUAAAGGGAGCGUAGGCCGUGGAUUAAGCGUGUUGUGAAAUGUAGACGCUCAACGUCUGAAUUGCAGCGCGAACUGGUUCACUUGAGUAUGCACAACGUAGGCGGAAUUCGUCGUGUAGCGGUGAAAUGCUUAGAUAUGACGAAGAACUCCGAUUGCGAAGGCAGCUUACGGGAGCACAACUGACGCUGAAGCUCGAAGGUGCGGGUAUCAAACAGGAUUAGAUACCCUGGUAGUCCGCACAGUAAACGAUGGAUGCCCGUUGUUAGUUCACCUAAGAAUUAGCGACCAAGCGAAAGCAUUAAGCAUCCCACCUGGGGAGUACGCCGGCAACGGUGAAACUCAAAGGAAUUGACGGGGGCCCGCACAAGCGGAGGAACAUGUGGUUUAAUUCGAUGAUACGCGAGGAACCUUACCCGGGCU
rnacentral:rRNA from 1 species